rnacentral:tRNA from 1 species
GCCUGGGUAGCUCAGUUGGUUAAGUGACUGACUUUGGCUCAGGUCACGAUCUCAAGGCUUGUGGGUUCAAGCCCCAUGUCGGGCU